rnacentral:rRNA from 1 species
CCCUUAGAUGUCCUGGGCCGCACGCGCGUUACACUGAUGCAUUCAACGAGCUUAUAACCUUGGCCGAGAGGCCUGGGCAAUCUUGUUAACGUGCAUCGUGAUGGGGAUAGAUUAUUGAAAUUAUUAAUCUUGAACGAGGAAUUCCUAGUAAACGCAGAUCAUCAAUCUGCAUUGAUUACGUCCCUGCCCUUUGUACACACCGCCCGUCGCACCUACCGAUUGGAUGGUCCGGUGAAGCCUCGGGAUUGUGGUUCUUGCCGCUUUAUUGUGGCGUGACCGCGAGAACUUGUCUAAACCUUAUCAUCUAGAGGAAGGUGGAGUCGUAACA